ACCACACGAGGAUAUCUACGGGGCCGUGGGUAUUACGACGGUUGAGCAUCCAUGAUGUGGGAUUCAGCACGUGGGCCGAUAGCUGUAGUAGUUUGUGUCUUCCUCAUUUCUCAGUCGUCAUGUGAUUACCUUGAUCUAAGCGGUGGAAUGACGGGCAACAAUUCCUUCACCUUAUGCUGUACAAAGACAGGUGGUUGGGGCGUAACGGGUCUGUAUUCAGUCUUUUGGUACAGAAAUGGUACGCUUGUAUUCAAAACACGCAGGGUAUUCGGUACACAGAUAGUUGACAGUUCAUUUCAAAACUUGGUUAAACCACGUCUGUGGUGGAGAAAGCACUGUGUGGACGUUUCUAAAGUGGAAGCGGGCAUGUCUGAGUGGAGAUGCAACAACGACAAUGACAAAAGCACUUGGAGUAGAAAAUCAAUUAAACUGUCCGCUUCCAUGACUACGAAUCAACUGAUCGUAGGUGACGGCUAGUUUGUCCGGCGUCUGACGUGGCCCUGUAGAGAUUUUCUUCUCAGAAGACCCAUAUGCUUGUUUCCACCAUUAAUGACAUCUCAAUCUUUUCAAGGCGUUCGAACAUGAUUUUUGACAUUUACAUUAAAAAAAGACGUUCAAGGUUUUAUGAAAUGUUUGUAAGUAUUGGGGAUAUGCUCUACAAAAUUUCAAAAUACUUUUGCUCUGUAAAUAUAUUCUUCUCACUCAAUGUUAGACUGAGGAAUCUUAAAUUUGUCUUCUAUGGUUCUUC